rnacentral:rRNA from 1 species
GUGGGGAAUAUUGGACAAUGGGCGAAAGCCUGAUCCAGCCAUGCCGCGUGUGUGAAGAAGGUCUUCGGAUUGUAAAGCACUUUAAGUUGGGAGGAAGGGCAGUAAGUUAAUACCUUGCUGUUUUGACGUUACCGACAGAAUAAGCACCGGCUAACUUCGUGCCAGCAGCCGCGGUAAUACAGAGGGUGCAAGCGUUAAUCGGAAUUACUGGGCGUAAAGCGCGCGUAGGUGGUUUUGUAAGUUGGAGGUGAAAUCCCCGGGCUCAACCUGGGAACUGCCUCCAAAACUGCAUGACUAGAGUACGGUAGAGGGUAGUGGAAUUUCCUGUGUAGCGGUGAAAUGCGUAGAUAUAGGAAGGAACACCAGUGGCGAAGGCGACUACCUGGACUGAUACUGACACUGAGGUGCGAAAGCGUGGGGAGCAAACAGGAUUAGAAACCCUUGUAGUCC